rnacentral:misc_RNA from 1 species
UGGGAGCAUCCGGGGGAGGGCU